rnacentral:rRNA from 1 species
GACGAACGCUGGCGGCGUGCUUAACACAUGCAAGUCGAACGAUGAAGCCGGAGCUUGCUCUGGUGAAUUAGUGGCGAACGGGUGAGUAACACGUGAGUAACCUGCCCUUGACUCUGGAAUAACUGCGGGAAACUGUAGCUAAUACCGGAUACGACCCUCGGAGGCAUCUCCUGGGGGUGGAAAGAAUUUCGGUCAAGGAUGGACUCGCGGCCUAUCAGCUAGUUGGUGAGGUAAAGGCGCACCAAGGCGACGACGGGUAGCCGGCCUGAGAGGGUGACCGGCCACACUGGGACUGAGACACGGCCCAGACUCCUACGGGAGGCAGCAAUGGGGAAUAUUGCACAAUGGGCGCAAGCCUGAUGCAGCAACGCCGCGUGAGGGAUGACGGCCUUCGGGUUGUAAACCUCUUUUAGCAGGGAAGAAGCGAAAGUAACGGUACCUGCAGAAAAAGCACCGGCUAACUACGUGCCAGCAGCCGCGGUAA